GGAGUUAGCCGGUGCUUCUUCUGUGAGUGAUGUCCUUCCUGCCGGCUAUUAACCCGCAGGCCUUCUUCCUCACUGAAAGUGCUUUACAACCCGAAGGCCUUCUUCACACACGCGGCAUGGCUGGAUCAGGGUUGCCCCCAUUGUCCAAUAUUCCCCACUGCUGCCUCCCGUAGGAGUCUGGGCCGUGUCUCAGUCCCAGUGUGGCUGAUCAUCCUCUCAGACCAGCUACGGAUCGUCGCCUUGGUGAGCCGUUACCUCACCAACCAGCUAAUCCGACAUAGGCUCAUCCGAUAGCGCGAGGCCCGAAGGUCCCCCGNUUUCCCCCGUAGGGCGUAUGCGGUAUUAGCCUGGGUUUCCCCAGGGUUAUCCCCCACUACCGGGCAGAUUCCUAUGCAUUACUCACCCGUCCGCCGCUCGCCACCAGGGAGCAAGCUCCCCGUGCUGCCGCUCGACUUGCAUGUGUAGCUCGCCGCCGACGCGUCAUCUGAGCAGAAUACAACUACUCGA
rnacentral:rRNA from 1 species